rnacentral:rRNA from 1 species
GCAUGCGACUCUUCGGAGGCGUUACACAGGUGCUGCAUGGCCGUCGUCAGCUCGUGUCGUGAGAUGUUUGGUUAAGUCCAGCAACGAGCGCAACCCCUGUUGCCAGUUACCAGCACGUGAAGGUGGGGACUCUGGCGAGACUGCCCAGAUCAACUGGGAGGAAGGUGGGGACGACGUCAGGUCAGUAUGGCCCUUAUGCCCAGGGCUGCACACGUACUACAAUGCCCAGUACAGAGGGGGCCGAAGCCGCGAGGCGGAGGAAAUCCUAAAAACUGGGCCCAGUUCGGACUGUAGGCUGCAACCCGCCUACACGAAGCCGGAAUCGCUAGUAAUGGCGCAUCAGCUACGGCGCCGUGAAUACGUUCCCGGGUCUUGUACACACCGCCCGUCACAUCAUGGAAGCCGGUCGCACCCGAAGUAUCUGAAGCCAACCGCAAGGAGGCAGGGUCCUAAGGUGAGACUGGUAACUGGGAUGAAGUCGUAACAAGGUAGCCGUAGGGGAACCUGCGGCUGGAU